rnacentral:tRNA from 1 species
GCUCGUGUAGCUUAGUCGGUAGAGUGUUGGGCUUUUAACCUAACUGUCCGGGGUUCGAGUCCCCGUUCGAGCC